rnacentral:lncRNA from 1 species
GGUAGGGGGAAAAAAAGACUGUCUUCCUAACUGAUAAGCUUAUGUAAUAUUUCGUUACAUUUCAUUGAUGGAGUAAGAUGCCCCAUCGCAUAAGCAGGUUUGGGGCCCCAUCAACACUGGGGUAUGAAGGCCAAGGGUACCUGGCUCAGGUGGAAAGGGCCCCCCGGGGCUGGGGGGGUCCACUGGAUUAAGAAGGCGGCAUUGGCCUACGGAUU